rnacentral:rRNA from 1 species
GGUUGCUUCAACCAUCGCCGCUAACCAACUCGGCCUCCUCCUAAACAAACCUCGGGCGAGGGGAAAGCGCGGCGACCGGCGGCAGCGGUGAGGCAGAGCCAUGGUGGUCCACGUCGUGUACAGGAGGCGGGAGAACAGCUGGAGGGGGGCCGACUCGUCUGUCAGGUUCCUGGGCGCCGCCAUGAGCAGCAACCCGCCGAGCAAGCACCAGGUCCGCCUCGCCGGCCGCGGCGGCAUCGGCUACGCCCCCACCUCCCCCGCGGGCGCGCGCAACGGAGGCCUCUCUCUGCGCGCCACCUCCCCGCCGCCGCCGACCGUCUCCAUCGCCUCCGUCGCUGGCUGGGAUUCUAUCAAGCUGCGGCUCGACGGCGAGGAGGGGCUGAAGGAGUUCUUGGCCGUCGGGACAGAGGAGGACGCAGCGGUUUACGCGAGCAAGUGGCCGGCUGGCGGGGAUGAGGUGACGUUCGACGCCCCGCCUACAGAUGAGGAGGUCCACGCCGCCGUCGCCAGCAUCCAGCAGGUAUUUGAGAAUCCUUCGGGUGUGGAAUCUGACGCACUCGAGUUACAAGCGCUCGCACUGCCCAUCGCAGGACUCUCUUCAUCUGGGAUGUUUGUUAACUAUUUCGCUGCCGAUUCUGAUGCGUCCGAGAAGCAAACCGUCCAAUUAGCCAACUUAGGGAAUUCUCCAUCCAACAUUGGAUUAGACGAUUGCACUGAAUCUGGCACACUUGCACUUAACUCAACUGCUCUUAUGACAAGGGAACAUCAAAAUGUACUGGAUGCAUUCCAGCUGUUGAAAGAAGAUGCCUCUGUUCAGAAAAUGGUUAUGGCCUUGUCAACUGAUAAAGCUGUAUGGGACGCUGUCAUGAACAAUGAGGUGGUGCAAGAAUUUAAGAAGUCCUUCCAGGAUGCUAAGGAAACUGAUAACAAGGGGAGGUCUAGUGCUCCUCCUGGAAUGAUGCAAUGGGUCUUGGAGAACACCCAGGCGAAGAUUAAGGAGUUCCUUGAGAAGAUACUUCAGCUCGUGCACACGCUCUUCCAGGCCCAGAGCAUGGACUACGAUUUGUCUGACGAUGUUGUGAGAAUGUCCUUCAUGCUCUCGGUGUUCGUCUUCAUCGUCGUAACAAUAGCUCGCAUAAAGUGAGCACAACAAUUCGUCGACUUCACACUUGGUGGUUAGUAUUGUACAGGAUCAGUUAUAGUCCUAGUAAUUUCGUAUGGGUUUCUUAUGGUUGUGAUCAGGGACAGUGUCUGUCUUAGUUUCCAGGUCUAGAACAUUAAAAGUUGCCGAGGUGCUACGAUUCUCAGUGGAAAUUCAAUAUGUUUACUCUGUCAGUUGUGGUAAUAAUUGUGUUAAUCAUCCAUAGUUCAGAUCAACUGCAUCAGUCAUGCUGGUUAUCCAGCUGUGAAAAUAAAUGCAGUACGAACGGUUCAUCAGUGAUGCAAGAUUUGACAAGCUCUUAAGAAUGGUUGUUGUAUAAGAACGGAUCAGGA